GACCAAAAUAGCCCGUCUGAUCACACCCUAAAACUAGGACAAUACAGAUAAGAUUAGCAUGGUCUCUGUGCCAGAAUGACAUGCAAAUCUGUGACGAAUUUCAUUAAAAA
rnacentral:snRNA from 1 species